rnacentral:rRNA from 1 species
GACGAACGCUGGCGGCGUGCUUAACACAUGCAAGUCGAACGGAAAGGCCCCUUUGGGGGUACUCGAGUGGCGAACGGGUGAGUAACACGUGAGUAACCUGCCCUUGACUUCGGGAUAACUUCAGGAAACUGGGGCUAAUACCGGAUAGGAAUCCUUGCUGCAUGGUGGGGGUUGGAAAGCUUCGGCGGUUUUGGAUGGACUCGCGGCUUAUCAGCUUGUUGGUGGGGUAGUGGCUUACCAAGGCUUUGACGGGUAGCCGGCCUGAGAGGGCGACCGGCCACAUUGGGACUGAGAGACGGCCCAGACUCCUACGGGAGGCAGCAGUGUGGAAGAUUGCACAAUGGGCGGAAGCCUGAUGCAGAAACGCCGCGUGCGGGAGGACGGCCUUCGGGUUGUAAACCGCUUUCAGCAGGGGCGAGGCUUGUGGUGACGGUACCUGCAGAAGAAGCACCGGCUAACUACGUG